rnacentral:rRNA from 1 species
UACGUAGGGGGCAAGCGUUGUCCGGAUUUAUUGGGCGUAAAGAGCGUGUAGGCGGUCAGGUAGGUCCGUUGUGAAAACUCGAGGCUCAACCUCGAGAUGCCGAUGGAAACCAUCUGACUAGAGUCCGGAAGAGGAGAAUGGAAUUCCCGGUGUAGCGGUGAAAUGCGCAGAUAUCGGGAAGAACACCCGUGGCGAAGGCGGUUCUCUGGGACGGUACUGACGCUGAGACGCGAAAGCGUGGGGAGCGAACAGG